rnacentral:rRNA from 1 species
AGGACGAACGCUGGCGGCGUGCUUAACACAUGCAAGUCGAGCGGAAAGGCCCUUCGGGGUACUCGAGCGGCGAACGGGUGAGUAACACGUGAGUAAUCUGCCCCUAGCUCUGGGAUAGCUCCGGGAAACCGGGAUUAAUACCGGAUACGACCACCUUAGACAUCUUUUGUGGUGGAAAGAAUUUCGGCUAGGGAUGAGCUCGCGGCCUAUCAGCUUGUUGGUGGGGUAACGGCCUACCAAGGCGACGACGGGUAGCCGGCCUGAGAGGGCGACCGGCCACACUGGGACUGAGACACGGCCCAGACUCCUACGGGAGGCAGCAGUGGGGAAUAUUGCGCAAUGGGCGAAAGCCUGACGCAGCGACGCCGCGUGGGGGAUGAAGGCCUUCGGGUUGUAAACCCCUUUCAGCAGGGACGAAGCGAAAGUGACGGUACCUGCAGAAGAAGCGCCGGCUAACUACGUGCCAGCAGCCGC